rnacentral:rRNA from 1 species
UACAGAGGGUGCAAGCGUUGCUCGGAUUUACUGGGCGUAAAGCGUACGCAGACGGCGAGACGGGUCGGACGUGAAAGCCCCGGGCUCAACCCGGGAAAUGCGUCCGAAACCGCCUUGCUUGAGUAUGGGAGAGGGAAGCGGAAUUCCUGGUGUAGAGGUGAAAUUCGUAGAUAUCAGGAGGAACACCGGCGGCGAAGGCGGCUUCCUGGCCCAUUACUGACGUUCAGGUACGAAAGCGUGGGUAGCAAACAGG